AAAGAAGGUAAUCCCAAAUCCCUCCAAGGCCUAAAUGGGCCAAGGAAGCUGACAUGGCUACUCAUAAUCGAUAAACCCUAAUAGGUUAAUCGAUUAGGAACUAUUGAAAUUCAAAUUUUAUGACACCUAAUUUAUUAACUCUAUGGGCAUAAUCGAUUAAAUAUAUUUUCUUCCACAAAUAUUUAGCAAAUUAAGAAGAUAUCAAUCAAGCCAAGGACCAUAUCU
rnacentral:lncRNA from 1 species